CCAAAACUAAUGAAAUAACCUAAAUACAAAAUGAACCUUACAAAAAUUAAAAUUCGACUUAACUCGAUUCAAAAUCAAACUCUAUCCAUCUAAUUGACAGAUUUAAGUAGAGUUCUCUAGGGUGUCAAACAGACAGCGACGUCACGAUGAGAAGCUUCCCGACGUCGCAACGACCCCAUUCACGUCGUCACGACUAAUGUAAAAUCGACCCUGCUAUGAAUUUUAAAUUAAAAAACAAAAGAAAAAAAUGGUUAAGACGGUUGAACAAAAAUGACCCAGGCAUAAAAAAACAUUUAAUUUAAACCAAAUUAAAAAAAAUAAGAUAAGCAUGAAAUAAUACAUAGAAUGGCAACAUCAUAGUUCAAAC
rnacentral:lncRNA from 1 species